CAGUCGCCACGGUAAUACAAGGGGGGCAAGCGUUGUUCGGAAUUAUUGGGCGUAAAGGGUGCGUAGGCGGCUUGACAAGUCUUGUGUGAAAUCUAUGGGCUCAACCCAUAGUCUGCACGGGAAACUGUCGGGCUUGAGAAUGGGAGAGGUGAGUGGAAUUUCCGGUGUAGCGGUGAAAUGCGUAGAUAUCGGAAGGAACACCUGUGGCGAAGGCGGCUCACUGGACCAUUUCUGACGCUGAUGCACGAAAGCUAGGGGAGCAAACAGGAUUAGAUACCCCCGUAGUCCCUGUCUCUUAUAC
rnacentral:rRNA from 1 species